rnacentral:rRNA from 1 species
GGCGAAAGCCUGACGCAGCGACGCCGCGUGGGUGAUGAAGGCCUUCGGGUCGUAAAGCCCUGUCGGGGGGGAAGAAAUCUCGUCGACCUAAUACGUCGGUGACUUGACGGUACCUCCUAAGGAAGCACCGGCUAACUCCGUGCCAGCAGCCGCGGUAAUACGGAGGGUGCGAGCGUUGUUCGGAAUCACUGGGCGUAAAGCGCGUGUAGGCGGCCUCCUCAGUCUGAUGUGAAAGCCCUGGGCUUACCCCAGGAAGUGCAUUGGAUACUGGGAGGCUGGAGUACCGGAGAGGAGGGUGGAAUUCCUGGUGUAGCGGUGAAAUGCGUAGAUAUCAGGAGGAACACCGGUGGCGAAGGCGUCCCUCUGGCCGGAUACUGACGCUGAGACGCGAAAGCGUGGGGAGCAAACAGGAUUAGAUACCCUGGUAGUCCACGCCAUAAACGAUGGGCACUAGGUGUUCGGGGUAUUGACCCCCUGAGUGCCGCAGCUAACGCAUUAAGUGCCCCGCCUGGGGACUACGGCCGCAAGGUUAAAACUCAAAGGAAUUGACGGA